rnacentral:lncRNA from 1 species
UGGGCAGCGAUGACUGACUGCCUCUGCUGCCUGUGGAGCUGCCACACCAGGGCUGGGCACACGAGGAGUCACCGCCUCCAAUCAGCUCUCUGAUGACGACACGAUGUAAAAGCAGUUUAUUAAGCUGCAAGAUGAAAGACUUUUACAGCUCAUUAAGGAGGAAAGCUCAUAAGAAGGUAAUAAUAGAAGGAAUAUUUAAUUUUGCAUGAGUCUGCCUAGAAUUGUGCUGCUUCUGAAGUGUAAAUCGGAAGAGAUUUGUAUACAAGAUUUCACAAUGUGUCAUGUUAGAAUUAUUAGGAUUAAACUAUAAAAACAAUUUCUUGUAUAAGAUUUUCUUAAAGAAAAGCAUCUUCUUUUAGUGUACAUGUCAUAAAUCUCUUUAGAAAUCUCUUGCUUUAUUAACAAUAUUUAGAAGACACAGAAUUAGGACUAAGUAGAAAAUGUUCAGGGUAUUUUUUUUUUGUUGUAAAUGUUCUGGGACUAACAUGAAGUAUUUAGUUUUCAACUUUUCAACUGAGUCUGCAUGAACACUUUGAAGAUAAAGGAGCGAGAGACUGAAACCAGACCAGACUCCUACCUUUGCAACAAAAUUUCACUUAAAAUGGCUUUGGAAGCUCUGCAUUAUAGCAACAGUGGAUUUACACUCAUUACAAAAAGGCAACAUUAUGGAUUAAAGUUUCUUCUUUGUAAGUCACUGGCACAGCAAGGAAUCAGAGGAACACAUUAUGGAUGUAGCGACACGCCUUUAGCUGCACAGUGCCCUAAAACUGAGCGCAUAGCAAGGGUUCAUCUCCCUGAAUUCUGUAACUCAAAGGUUAUUUUUCAAUUUUGAUGUUUGACACUGAAAAAUGUUUUAAAUGGUUUUGGUGCAAUGAGUGCUUUUUAAAGGGUAAUUAUUCUGUCAUAUUGAAAUAUGAAUUUUCAGGAAUUUAUAUUUUGGGUUUAUUAAUUUCAAAGGUAAGACUUAAGCAUUCUUUAGAGUCAUCAAAAUUUAGAAUCAGUUGAAGCUAUGCUUCCAGGGUGCAAAAUAGGGUUAUUCUCUUGAAUUACCAUUUAAAUGUAUUUUCAAUAGAUUGCCCUUUUCUGUUGCCUUGAGCAUUUCAUGUGAGCUAAGCUCAUAUCAUAAAAGGCAUCUUAUUGUUUUUGAUGAGACUAACACUAAUGUCAAAGGAUGGCAUCAAAAAGAAGAGUGGCACUAAUUAUUCAGAUGUGACUUUCUUACCUGUAGACACAGCAAUAAUAUGGGCUGUGCUCCAGAGUGCUCACAGGUCAAGCAAACCUAAGAUUUUAUUUCAGUUUGGGGGUGACUGUGUACAGAGAUGAUUGAUAAUCAAUUGUUGAAUAACUGAGGUUUAUAAUCCUGUCACAAUAAAAAAUGAUCUGAAGGCUCUGGCCA